AGAGAGCCACCGGGGCCCGCUCGCGCGCCUCUGAGAGGCUGUCCGCGCGCGCGCGUGUGUGCGUGAGUGUGGAUUUGCCGGGACUGGAGCUGGAAAGUUCAAACUAAACGUGUUGCUCUCGCCGAGUGCCGAGGCCGCGGCGGAGGCUGCCCAACUUCCCCGGGCCAAGUGAGUGGCGUUGCCCAGCGCCUUUGGCGAGGCGGCGGCCGCUCGGCCCUGCGCCCGGCCGCGGCGGCGGCGGCUCCGCUCGCCCCGGGAGGGAGCCCGCGGCCAGGGCUGGACUCUCGCCCCGCCACCUCCACCGACUCUCUCCUCAGCCUCCGCGCCUGGCACCGCAGCAAGACUUGAAUGAAGUGAUCAUGUAAACUAGAGAAAGGAGAUUAAAAAUAACCUCUGGAUAUUCCUCUCAUGUGAUCUUUAUUCUGGAUGAAGCAUUAGGACAGCUAAUAGCCGUGUGUCACUUAAAAAUCCAACUUGAGAACUGUCACCAAAGAUGUCUAGGAACUUUGAAGAAACAUGAAGUAAUAUGCAUGCAAAGUAAAGUAAAAUUUCCUGAGCAAAGGACAUCAGAAUCAGUUUCAUGAAGAUGAACCUGUGGCCAGAAAAUGAAGACCUUUCCUGAAUUCAGAGAACCAACUUUGCACCCACAAGAGAGAAAAAGGCAAAUAAAUAAUAUUAUAUUUUGGAAGAGUCUUACAAAAUGAUUCAUAAUUAAUUUGCAGUAUACUAUUCUAAAAUUCUUUUGUAAGAGAUUAAAGAAAUAUGUACACAUUAGAAAACUAUAAUUAGUACUCCUAAUGGAAAUCAAUUUUCAUUUACAAAAUAGCUUUAAAAAUUUACAAAUACAAUGUUAAUUCACUCCUGCUUGCCCAACAAGGGGAGUUCUUGAUGGAGUGAAAAAGAGCCUAAAUCUUGAGCACUUACUGGGUACAGGGCACUGUCAUGUGUGUUUCACGUGUAUUGCCGAAUGUGAUACUUACAAAAACCAUAUCAGGUGGGUGUGGUAAUUAUCAUGAUGCCCAUUUUGCAAAUGAAGAAGCUGAGCCACUGAAAUGUUCAACAAAUGUGCCUCCAGGAUACACAGGUUGAUUUUCCGUUUCAGGAUUUGGACUCAUAUACUGGCCCCAAUGUCUGCUAUGUUCUCUUUUGGUAAACAUGCAGGAAAUGGAAUGAAAUAUGUUGUCUUUAGUAUAACAGAAUCUUUAAUUUGUAGCUCUAUUUGAACUUUCUUAGCUGAAGUGUCCUCAACAAAGUCAUAUAUGUAGUCACUAAUCACUAUGAAAAUGACAAUAUAAGAAGUAAAAUUAUAUGUAUACCAUUCAAAGAGAUCUGAAAAUUGAAUUAACUGAGCAUUUUUGUAGCAUGAAUCUUUGAUUAGAAAAUAUUGGAGCCCAUUUGCAACAUUUUAGGUUGCUACAUAUAAUGUUUUAUAUGAAAUAAUAUAAUCAACUUAUUUAUAGAAGUGUAGAUGAUUUUAGUUCUUUUCCUAUCAUUAUUCAGACAGAGUUUGAUAGCUUAGCAGACUCGUGUUGUAUGUGUAUAUGUUAGGGAGGACAGGUUUGCAAUUGAAGCUGAUUGUUUGCCCAAACACCAUCUGGCCUACCCAUUUAUAAUAUGUCAAAUGAGACUGCCCAAGGUAUGAGAAAAAUCUUAAUUUCACAUUUAUUCAGGUCAUAUUGGCCACAGCUCAAACUGCACUAUUAUAUUGUUUGCAUUUUCAUCACCACCCGGUUUUUUUUUUAAUUUUUUUCUGAAUUCUCUUGAAUGCUUUACUGAUUUUCACUACCUUCCUUUUAAUUAUUUCAGAAACCUACUAUUAAAGAUUUUCACUCACUGUUGAUCAUAACGUUAAUCAUCUUGUUACAAUAUAGACUAUUAUAAGCUUUAGUAAAAUAACUUAAAUAUUUUAAAACCCAAAUAUCUUUGGAUGGACUUUGUGUAUAUUAAAUUCUUGUCUAUUAUAGCAAAGUUUCAAUAUGCAUAAACAUAUACAUAUAAGUAAAUAUUUUAUAAUGUAUCACUGGCUCUUGUAAAGAUAGUUAUUCAUGCUCAAUAUCAACAUUUUGAAAAAUGUAGCUAUUAAUAAAUAUUUAUGCACAAACUUAGAUUUUUAACUGAAAGUUAAUGGCUAGGAUUUUUAAGUAACUGUCCAAAUAAUUAAAUAGAAGGAAUAAAAUAAACAUUUCACUUUGCAUUAGACACUUCUGCUAGAACAUGUUUUAUAAGAAUUAAAUGUUGAGGAAUUUUAAAAACUACAUUAGAUUUUAAAUCACCUUAAUAGUCCUACACUGAUUUCUACUGUUUUAGUUGGAAGAAUGAUCAGAAAUAGUAUCCAGGGGAAAUGUAUUUUGUAAAAAUACUGUAGUUUAAUAAUAUGAUAAGAAGGCAACUUCUGAGUAUAUCCUCUGAUUAAUUCAAUGCCAAAAUAUAUGGGGAAGAUAGUUUUCAAUGUAAAUACUGAUUCCUGUUUAGAAAAUAAAAACAGCAUAUUAUUAAUUUAGAUUAACAUAAUUAAUAUAACACUUAUUUCCCAAAAUGUUAUAUUUCUUUGGGUAGCCCCUUAAUUAUUAGUCAAACAAGAAACCUCCAACAGAAGUAUUUCAGAAAAUAUCAUGGCAUUUAAAAAUAUGAAUGUUCAUAAUUUCCUUAAUAGUUUACAUUUUUAACCCCUUUAAAAUGCUAAUUUCAUGAUCUUUAUUGCUGAUUUAUGAAAAUAUCACUAUUCAUUAGUAAAAUAUGUAUUUUUAAAUUAAAAUUUGAAUCUGAAAGAGCAAGGAAGACUUAAUUGGAAGAUGCAUAGAAUUUGUGAGGUCUUUUCAGAAUAUCUUACUGUAUGUAUGUUACAGAACAUAAGCACUGAGUCAAAGCUCAGCGGAGGAAGUUCACGUUAAUAGUGUGCUCUAGGCCGGGCGCAGUGGCUCACACCUGUAAUCCCAGCACUUUGGGAGGCUGAGGCAGGAGGACAACCUGAGGUGAAGAGUUCGAGACCAGGCUGGCCAACAUGGUGAAACCCUGUCUCUACUAAAAAUACAAAAAAAUUAGCCGGGCACGGUGGUGGGUGCCUGUAAUCCCAGCUGCUAGGGAGGCUGAGGCACGAGAAUUGCUUGAACCUGGGAGGCAGAGGUUGCAGUGAGCCGAGAUCACGCCAGUACACUCCAGCCUGGACAACAGAGUGAGACUGUGUCUCAAAAAAAAACAAAAACAAAAGCAAAACAAAAAACAACAACAGUGUGUUCUCCAGGCUGAGGGCCUUCAGUGCUGCAGCUUAUUACUUUAAUGGUGAGUAGAAAGUAAGGUAUGGGGUCAGGCACGGUGGCUUACUCCUGUAAUCCCAGAACUUUGGGAGGCUGAGGCGGGUGGAUCACCUGAGAUCAGGAGUUCGAGACCAGCCUGACCAACGUGGUGAAACCCUGUCUCUACUAAAAACACAAAACCAAACACCUCAUGUUCUCACUCAUAAGUGGGAGAUGAACAAUGACAACACAUGGACACAGGGAGGGGAACAUCACACACCAAGGCCUGUUGAGGGGUGGGAGGCUAGGGGAGGGAUAGCAUUAGGAGAAAUACCUAAUGUAGAUGAUGGGUUGAUGAGUGCAGCAAAUCACAAUGGCAAGUGUAUAUGUAUGUAACAAACCUGCACAUUCUGCACAUGUAUUCUGAAACUUAAAGUAUAAUAAUAAUAAAUGAAUAAAAAAUAAAUAUACGAAGCAAAAGAAAAAAAUACAAAAAUUAGCUGGGCAUGGUGGUGCAUACCUGUAGUCCCAGGUAUUGGGAGGGUGAGGCAGGAGAAUCUCUUGAACCCAGAAGGCAGAGGUUGCAGUGAGCCAAGAUCACGCCACUGCACUCCAGCCUGGGCAACAAGAGCAAAACUCCAUCUCAAAAAAAAAAAAAAAAGAAAAAAGAAAAAGAAAAAGAAAAAAAGACAGCCAGGUAUGGGAGGAAGGCAAAUUAUUUACAUUUGUGGUGCAUAAAAUAUACCAGAACAGGACCAUACCCUGGAUUCAUCUCCUGUAUGAAGUGUUAAAACUACAUAAUUCAUAAAGUAGUCUAAACUGUGUAUUUAUAUGACAAGUAUUGCAUAUUUCAGACAACCUAAGCAACAUCAGUUUAACACAUAGUAUUUCUCAGUUAAUCAUUUUGAGUAUAUGGAAACUGCUGAUUAUAUUACUACUAUAUAUACAAAAACUAUGCAUGCUUUGAAGUCCUAAAAUGAAGCAAUCAAUUUUUUUCUAAAUUAAUUCAAGAAGAGUAGUGAAAUGAAGUGCAUAAUUUAUUUCAGUCCUUAAAAGAAAAUCAUUUAAUUGCUCAUUUUGUUUUUAAGCACUUUUCCCCAUAACUGCAUAGAAAUGAUUCUUCAAGGCUUGUUAGAUAAGUAGUCCUAUCCUAUUUUAAGGGAACUCUAAUAACGUGGUAAAGGUAAGUGAUAGCUGAUUUUUCUAAAUCUUCACAUAUAUGUAAAAUCCUAAAUAUUAGAUGUUGAAACUUUUUAAAUUGCAUCAUGAAGAUGUUUAUGAGGAUUUUACAGAGUUAUUUAUCGAGUUUCCGAAUUACAUAAUCAGAUAUCCUAUUUUUGUUACACUAGAAUUAAUUUCAUUGUCAUGUCUCAAGUCAUCAAUUUACAUACAGAUAACUAUUAGAUACUUAUGAAAGAUCUAUUGACUUAAAUAUCAAAAAAAGAAAAGAAAGAAAAAAGAAAACCUUAUCUUUUACUUCUUCCAUAAAUUUCAGUCAUUAGUUUUGAAUGAGGUUUUGAUAUACAAACCUGUGCUCUUAUGAAACUGAGCAAAAUAUAAUUUUUAGUAUGGUGCACUAUGCAUAAAUGAACUUAUUACAGCAAAAAUGCAGUUAAUUAUUUAAUUACCUAUGUAGUCAUUUUCAUUUUGCUAGAUUUAACUUUGAGGCGUAUUUGUCAUGUUCAAGUACUUAUUUGAUUUUUAAAUUAUAUAUCUUUUGUAGUAAUCAUGUAUUAUUCUUUACCUGUGCAACUAACUGUUCUUUUGAAAAGCAGCAAAAAUAUAAACUGCUUAUAAUAAUAAUGAACCUGAUGUGGUUAAAAAUGAAGCUUUCAUGAAUGCUAAUCAAAAAUAAAAAGAAUGAAUCCACAAUGAAAACCUAAUUCUCUUUUGUUGAUUUUGAAGAUGUGUUUUGAACAAAUUGCUUUUUCAAUGGAAUUCAAGUUUCCUUUUUUUCUUCAACCUAUGUUUAUGACAGUUCGGUCUGCUAUCACUGACAUGAUUGUGAGGUUUGAAAUAGUGUUAAAAUUUCACUGCAGGAUCAAUUUUUACAGGGAUUGCAUGCUAUGAGGUGGACAUUUUCUUAAAUAUGCUUAAUGUUGGUGUUCUUUGAGCAGUAGAAUAAAAAUUACUAAAAUUUAUAGAAUAAUUGGACAUAAUUAUAUUUGUAGCUUUUGUUUAUUGAUUUAAAAGCCUUUUUCUUAAAAUCUGCUUAUAGAAUAUACCACUCUCACUUGACUUGCUUAUAGAGAAUAUUUUUAAAUGGAAAUUUUUAAAAUUUAAUCUGGAAUUUCAGCUUACUUUCUUCCUUCACACAAUAAGGCUAGAGUUUAGUGACAGUAUAAUAGUAAAAAAAUCAGAGGAAAAUUAAUGUGUAGCAAUUGAGAAAAUAUUGCAGUAUGGUAUAUGAUAACUAGUUUCUCAUGUUUGGAGUACCUAUAAUUUAUAUGUAAUAAGUUUUUACAUAAUUUUAUGUAUUUAUUGGUAGUGCAAGUUUUGGGAAAACUGAUAGAUUGAAAAUUCCUUGCUAAAUCGCCCUCAGCUGCUUUCACUAACUGCUUGAGUUGCUCUUUAGUGGUUCAUAUCACAACAGCAGAAACUCUUGAGUAGGACCCUUCCAUAGAGCCAGGCAAGGUCAUUUGUAAGUGUAAGUGCUGGAGGUAUCUAUGGGUAAUGGAUGCUUAAAGUGUGUACGAAUGAACUUAAUGUGAUUACACUAAUAAUGGAAAAAAGCAUAUUGGUAAACUAUUAUUUCAGAAAAUCAAUUUGUACUUCCAUAGUUUAAAAUCUUUUCAUUAUUCUUACUACAUUCACCAUUUUCAAUACUACUAAACUUGUAUUUUUCUCUAGGAAUUUUAUCUCAAUUUACUCUUGCUGACAUUUUAAAACUCAUUAAUUUUGAGAUCAAUCACAUUUUACUCUUCAAACCUAUGUAUUUUACAUACUUUUAAUUUAUAUAUGCUAUUUUAUAUUAAAAUUUUAAUGCAAUUUAUGUAAUAUAAAAAGUAGAUUUAUACAAUUUAAAUGUAUAUCACAUUUCCUUAUCCUUAUAAAAUUAUAAAUGACAUCUUACACACUAGGUUAAAAAUUUUGUGAAGAACCAAAGAAAGUAUACCGGUUAGAAACAUUUGGGAAAAUAUUUUGCAUAUUUUUUAGGCUAAAACGGAAUCAUUUAAUUAUAGAUAUUUAAAAGUGCAAUAAAAUAUUAGCUUCCAUAUUUAUAUAAAUUCCAGAAAAAAUAGUUCCUGGAAUAAAGAUUUAAUUAAAGUAUUUUACAAAUUUUGAACUUUGUCAUUUAGAAUCUCCUUAAGAAAAUAAUUUGUCUAAAAAUAAUGAGAUCAUUUCAUAUACUUGCUUAUUUCACAUACAAGUAACAUAUUUCCUAAUAACCAUGUUUAAAAAAAUAGUUGGCCAUGUGUAAUUCCAGCACUUUCAGAGGCAAGGUGGGCAGAUGGCUUGAGCUCAGUAGUUAAAGACCACCCUGGGCAACAUAGUGAGACCCUGUCUCAAAAAAGAAAAAAAAAAUUAGCCGUGCAUAGUGGUACAGUCCUGGAAUUCCAGCUACUUGGGAGGCUGAGGUGAGAGGAUUCAACCUAGGAGGUGGAGGAGAAGGUGCAGGUUGCAGUCAGCCAGUCAGCCAGUCAGCCAGUCAGCCAGUCAGCCGUAAUCGCACCACUGCACUCCAGCCUGGGUCACAGAGCAAGACCUUGUCUCGAAAAAAAAAAAAUAAUAAUAAUUGAUGAUUACCAAUGUAUAUCUGCUGUAAAAUGAAAAGGAAACAUACUACUGCCCUCUACUAACAAUGGAGGAUCCAUGCUUUGCUUACAGUAACAUGUUAACACCAAGAGUGAGGGAGAGUAUUAUACUGAAAAUUGCUGAGUAAGGAAGUAGAGGUCAUAGAAACAUUUGACAUUAAUUGUUACAUGUUAUGACAGAGAUAAAGAAAGGUAUAUUUAUAAAAAGACUACCAUUUUUAUAAAGAUGCUUGCAUUAUACAUUUAUUCAUCAUAUCUAAAUUGAGUACUCACAUAGUAUCCAGCUUGUUUUUCUCCCUGAAAAUGUAUUUUUAGUUAUGAUCAUGUUGCCAUUGUUUCAAAUCUUGCAUGACUCUUCUUUCCUAGCAAGUUAAAUGCACAGUCCUUACUCUGCCAUACCCAACCUUCCGCACGGUAUGACUCCAGCCUCCGUUCUCUGCCAGUUCACUCUCUCGCUCUCAGUCACAUCUCUCGUAACUCUUGCAAACCUGAUUGCUUACUGUUCUCCAAACAUGUAUAAGCAGGGUUGGCUUCAUUGAGUCAGGCGGUCUUGUGUCUUUAUUAGAUAUGCAACAUUGGGAAAACUACUCAACUUCUCUGAAUCACAUUUAUUCAUUGAUAAAAUGUUGGAAGUAUUGAAUAUGUCUAGUGCAUUCUCUGACCAUGAGAUUAUACUCCAUCUCCAUCCCAUGUCUUAGUCCUUUUCUUUAACAGACAAAUUACUAUGAAGUUAUCAUUAACUAGAUUGAAUUAUCAUGUUAAAAUUCUACUCAUAGGAAGAAUACUAUUUUAAAAAAUAAGUUGUGUGAAAAUAUAUAGAUUCACUGAAAGAAAGAAAUUCUUCACCUGCUUCUAUUUUCUAAAAUGGGGCAAGUGAUAUACAUGGAGAUUAAAAAAGAUUAUAAGGAAGCAUCUGUCCCUGUACAUUUUUCUACAGUUUUUUUUGUAUCUUAUGUAGGUUUGUGAAUUUCACUUAAAAUUGCUUAAAUUUUAAAAAUGCAAAAAUAUUGUAUGAAUUUUGUGUUAUUCCUUCUAAAAUAUUUUUAUCUUUUUUAUCAGAUGUUUUUCCUUUUGAAAGCUUCUUCUAAUGUAGGUUUUCAAAUAAUAUCUGAAUAUAAUUAUAAAUUGUAUUAUUUGAUAUUAUUUAAAAUUAUGAUAUCGUAUGAUUAAGAUAUUUAAGUGAUACUAAGAUUAUAUUUGGAGUACCUAUAAUUUAUAUGUAAUAAUUUGUUAAAUAAACUUAUAGAAUAUAGAAUAUAAGUUUAUAUAUAUGAUGCUUCUAAAGAAUAUAGAAUAUAUUGGAUAUAGAAUAUAGAGGCAUCUAAAGCAAGUUGUAUGGAUUAAUAUGUAUGAAUGAAACCCCAAUAUGCUCUGUGCAGUAGUUCAGUCUCUCCUGCGUCUCCUGCCUUCCCGCCCCUGACUCCUCAUCUCUGCCUCUCAUUGUUCUUGUUGUCCAGCAGCAGUACUGAAAACUACAAUGUAAGAUAAAAAAAGAUGGGAGAAGAAGAAAAAGAGCAGGAUUAGACUGGAGAGAAGGCUGUUUCCACCAUAAAGACAUUUACCCAGCCAGCCCUAUGAAAACAGGAGCCUAUUUCACUACUUGGUUAUUGACUGAACAGAGUAGCCAAGAGGUGGGCCUUUCAGCCCUUAGGGCCUGCCAGACAGCAUUAAAACUAAGUCUUCUGUGAAGAAGCUCCCUGUGCUUGGGAGUAUGCAGCUUUAAUGUUUGAAAGAGUGAGGGAGGGAAGAAGGGAGAUAACCCUCCCAGAAAACAGAAACGCAGACCGUGCUUUAGAAAAGAUCUUUCCAUAUGUAACAAACCUGCACGUUGUGGACAUGUACCCUAAAACUUAAAGUAUAAUAAUAAUAAUAAUAAAAGAAAAGUUCUUUCUCACAAUCCUAUCAGAUGGAAUGAGUCACCCACCUCCCUUGUGAGGGAAGGAGUAAGGCCCCCAGGAUAAUGCUUGUUGGGGCAGCCUUGGCUUACUCCCCUGAGAAAGCACACAGCUGAGCAGAAGCUGCCUCUUUGGAACCAGUGGUGGAAUAGUUACUGGUUUUACGAAUACAAUGGACACAGCAGAUUUUGUUUGUUUGUUUGUUUUGAGACAGGGUCUAGUUCCGUCACCCAGGCUGGAGUGCAGUGGUAGGAUCUUGGGUCACUCCAGCCUCAAUCCCCUGGGCUGAAGCGAUCCUCCCACCUCAGCCUCCCAAGUAGAUGAGAUUAUGCCUGGAUAAUUUUUUAAAUUUUUAAAAAAUUUUAAAAAAUUUUGCCCAGGCUGCUCUUGAUCUCCUGGGUUCAAGCGAUCCCGUCGCCUCUGCCUCCCAAAAUGCAAGGCUUCACAGCAGAUGUUUUCAGUAGAAAUUGUCUUAUAUUUGUUUUGUGUUGUUAUUGAAAUGAAUAUAAUGCUAGAUAUUUCUUGGUAUUUCGGAAGUUUAUAUCUUAUAGGAUAGAUUUUAUGGUAACUUUUUACAUCUUGAAAAUUAUGUUAAAAUUAUUUUAGUUUAACUUUGUUGAUUAUCUGCUUGUAUGAAUUGGCUUUAAUGACAAGAAAAUACUUUAAAACCCCAGGGUUACCUCCAGCUGGCUUGUCCUUUACCCCUGAAAAUUUUGGUUUCCUAAUAUAGGCAAUGACAAAAAGAAUAUUUAAAUUCCACACUCUCCAAAGUUGCAAAGUAAAAAUAAAUAAAAUAUUCAUAAACGUAUCUGAAAUGGGUCCAAAAUCAAAGAUUCAGGUAAAUAUUAAAAUACAUGUCCUUUUUUCUCUGUUGUAGAUGGACAGAGAGAGAAAAAAAAUCACUGAGUAGAGAGAGAAAUUAUAUUGUAAAUAAAACAUAUGGCGAAAGAAAACUUUUCAGGCAAAUUAAUUUUUAAAAAGCCACAUCAUACACGAUAUUAAUUAAAAAUGUGUAUAUAUAUAAUUUAAAUAAAAAUAUUUUCCUUUUUGUUAUCUUCUUCAUCUUCCAAAUUUUGGCAUUAAAAAUAUUAGGAAGGCAUUUCUAUGGCUUUUAAAAAAGCUUUCCAAGCAGCUCUCAAUUUAUUGUUUCACAUAAUGCUACUCUUUUCUCUAAGUCUGCCUUGUCAGCUAACGUGUUUUGGGAAGAAAAAAGAAAACAAAACAAAACCAAGACUCUGUUCUUCUCAUCUCUUUGAUUGAGUUAUCCUUUGCUAGGUGAAGUGUUGUGAGCUUUCAUACCCUUCCCUGGGCUUCCAGCAGCUCUCCCCACGGAGUGCUGCCACAGCACCACCAGGAGCCCCAGAUCCCUGCAAGGAGGAGAUCAAACCUCCACAGCAGGGAUUCCUCAAGACAGGUCAAGCUCCAGUGCUUGGAAAACUCAGCCUACAUCACACAAAAAUGUUAUCAUUUAUUUGGAAUUCUUUUUCAAUGGAUUGUCUCCACUUCUAAAACAUUUCUAAGUCUAGUUCAAAUCCAGCUGCAGAUUCCUGGCACUUGCUUCCUUCCCAUUCUUUUUCAUAUAUCUUCUUUUAUGUUGCAUAUACUUACUUCAGAUUAAGUAUAUAAGUUAAACUUUCAGUCUAUUCUGCCAUUAGAAGAGUUUAUUUCCAUACACAAUAAAAAAGGAUCGUUUGUAUUAUCCUCAAGAUUAGUGUAUGUUAUGAAUGCAAUAUCUUUGCAUUCAAGUGAAUUUAAAUAUUAUAGGAAGGGGUAGAGAAGGAAAUGCAAGUUAUCACUGACUGACUUGCCAAAGUUAAGCAAUUUUUAAGCAUUUUGGCAUGCAUGAUUGAUUGUGUACUUUUAAAUUUAAUAUUGUAUGGUAAUUAUUUUCUCACGUCAUUAAAAAGUAUUUUUUUCAAUGGCCAGAUAAUAGUUUAUCAUGCCAUGUACUGUAUUUAACUUCAAAUUGAUAGUCUUGAACACAUAUAUUAAUUUCAAUUCCACAGAUACAAAAAAUAAUUGACAUUAAACUUCUUUGAGAAUAAAACCUUGUCCAAAUUUGAUAUAUCCUUAGGAUGUAUUCCUAGACAUGGUUUAUUUCAUAUCUUAUGAACUCUUUAUUUGAAGGUAUUUGGUAUGAGUUGAGAAAUUACAUUACAGAAAAAAAUUUUGAGUGUGUAUUUCAUUCAAUCUUUGCAUUGUUUGUAAGUGCCUAUAUUAAGAACUUUUUUGUUAAAGUUUGACUAUGAAAUCUGAUGAGUGAAAAUUUAAUCUUUUUCUUAUUUUAAUUUUAAUUUCUUCAGUUAAUAGUUAAACUGAACGCUUUCCAUGUGUUUAUUAGCCACUUCUCAAUUUUUAUAUAUUUAUUUAGAUAAAAUUGUGCUUACCAACUCCAGUCUCAAUACUCUCUGUUAAGGUCUACGGUGUAUUCAUCUGUUGAGGUUUUUGUGCUUAGAGUAUCAAUUUUUGUGAAUGGGAUAUUUAUUAUAACUAACAAUUCUAGGUUUUAUUUAUUAAAAAUUGAACAAUCUGCUAUCUAUAAAAUCCGUAAUAUUUCCUUUGCAAUUUUCUUCCAAACAAUUGUAAGUUUUACACCAAAAUUAUUCCAAGAACAAAGCACGUGAGACUAUUUUAUUGACAAAACUUUGUUGGCUGAAAGUUUAUCUUCCGUAUACUUCAAUUUUUUUUCCCAUAGGAGGUUUAAAGAGCACACACACACACACACCACACACACACACACACACACACACACACACACACACACACACACACACACAGUGUUUCUGAAGCCCAGGCCAUUUUUGGUACCAACUAUAUCAAGUUAGAAUUUUUACAUGUGUCUCUUCUGUACGAAUCUAUACCAAAAUACAUGGACAGAAAAUACAGUGAUACAUUCUUUUAAAUGAAUGCUGAUUGCACUUUACAGUUUAAGAAACAAGGCUUCGAUGUAGGGAUUUCAGAGUGAACACUUACUAUAUAUCUUUGGAAACUAGACUGCUAACCUGUUACUGAAAUGUUUGCAUCAAAUUGUUUAUCAGGUUAUUUUCUCUCGGUAUAUAAAUAUAACAAACUUGGACAAAGUGGAUGUAUUUUCAAAGGAUAAUAAAAACUAAGAAUGGAGUGGGUCAAUAUACAAGGAGAAAUAAGGCAAUAGACUGGAAUGUAGAGAAGAGAGAGAGACUGGCACAGAGGGACAGUGGGGAUGAUAGGUAUUUUAAAAAAUAAUGGGAAAUGAAAAGAUUUUCUCUAUCACAGAAAACCAAGGUUCUGUGGAGACAGACCCUAAACUAGACUCCUGCAGAGUCUAAUGCUCGUUCAUCACAAGGCAUGCUAGACACUGCAAGACCCAUUGGCCCAUCUUUUUGAUCCUCACUCUCAAUCAUCUAAACAAGGCUGAGAGAUGACUCUCUGUACAGCCUCUGCAUUGUGUAAUAAUAACUCUGAAAUAGUUUCUGAUCUUUUCUCUUAGGGGUUGCAUAAAAUUUUGCUUCUAGCAAGAGAAAUAAACAACCCAUAACUAAAUCUAGAAACUUAGCAGGCAAAGCUCUGUAGUCAGAAUGGCUACUUUAAUUUGAGCAAUUCUGAACACAAUUUGAACCUCUCCACACUAUGAAAAUAGCAUAAAAUGAAAGAAAUAAUAGCUAAUACACCAACAAGAAGUACAGUAUAUAUGAUGUACUUACAAAAAAAUAUAGAAUUAUGGAUAAUAUGACACAUUCAUUGAGCAAAGAGAACAUGGCAUACAUUUAUCUUAUAUAAAAUAAUGCUUUAUAAUAUAUAUUUAAUUGAACAUGGAUUCUUAAUACAGAAACAAAAAAUAUUUUAGAUUGAUUAUCAUUGUACAAUUCCUUAGAGACAAAAAAUGUAAGUAAAAUGUCUGUGGAUUUUCCAAUACAACCUACUCUUCCUAUCUAAGUGAUAAUAAUAGCCUUUAAGUAAUUUUCUAAGGAUUUUUAUUUUAAAAAGUUUAAUUUACCAAUGAAAAAACAUAAAUCUUUGACAUUAAAUGAAAGCUCUAACAGAUGACGCAGAUAUUUCUAAUAAAAACAACUCAAAAAAUGGAGGAACUAAGCUCGUAUAUUUCAUUAGAGAUAUUGGAUAUAGCAAAUUAGCCUUUAUUUUAAAAUGAGGUCUCUCAAUCUAAUUUUAAAAAUAAAUAUAAGCGGACUUUUACUUACAGCAAGGUGGAGGAAAUAUAUUUUUUUUCUCUAUAUUUCCUUCUAACAAGGAAUGAAAACCCUAGACAUCAUAUAAGAAAAAACAAUAAGAAGAUUUUGAAAGAUAGAGAGAAAUCAGACCAGCCAGUGGCUUUGGAACCCUAGGAAGAACUCAGUGGUGAGUUUCCUGGAUCUUCCUUUAAUCUCACAUAUCUGAGCCUUAUUGCUGAAGAAUUCAACAACCUGGAGAUACCAAGAGCACAGAGAAAACCACACCCCGACAAAAGUCUGCUCUUUCUAGCCAAAGGGUGAGGAACGGGCCUGCCUAGAAAGACAUCAUACUUCUAGACAACAACCCAUCAACUCCAGCAAAUGCCACAGAAAAAAACUGUGGCCCCGCUCUCACUCCCACAAUACGUAUCAAUUGGGGGGCACAAAGUUUCUUCCUCUCGAGGCCAUAACGAUGUGCUCCCCAAACCCUGCUGGGGUGGUUGGUGUGAGAGAGAGCCAGAUAGGAAACUUGAUGUUCAUCUUCUCUCGCUGUAAGAAAUCCCCAUGCCCCUUCCCCUCACUCCCGGCCAUAGUGUCAGUUUAUGUGAUGUGAGGAUCCUAGUGCUGCAUCCUCACCACACAAGAACAAGCCCCCCUCCACCACCCUGCCCAUUAUGAUGGAGUCAGCAGAGCCCGGUGGAGAGUCCCAUAGACUGGUCACAUAGACUGGCCGCGUAGACUGGCCACAGGGGAUCUGGGCUUCUCACUCCGCCAGGCAGCAAUGAAGUGGCACCCUCCCAUUCUGUCAGAGUGGAGUCAGAUCAUGCCAGCUAAAAUGCACGGUUUAAAUACAGGCUUCAUCACAUGAUUGGAAAUGUCCACUUUUAAAUUGAAAAUCACUUAUCAUACCAAGAUCCAGGAAGACCUAAAACCAAAUGCACCAGGCAUGGUAGGUAACACCUGUAACUCUAGCACUUUGGGAGGCCAAGACGGGAGGAUCACUUGAGCUCAGGAGUUCAAGACCAGCCUGGGCAACAUAGCAAGACCUCAUCUGUACUUAAAAUUUUUAAAAAGCUAGCCAGGUGUGGCAGCGCAUGCCUGUAGUUCCAGCUGCUCUGGAGGCUGAGGCAGGAGAAUCACUUGAGUCUGGGAGGUCAAGGCUGCAGUGAGCCAUGAUUGUGCCACCACACUCCAGCCUGGGUGACAGAGUGAGACUCUGUGUCAAAAUAAACAAACAUAUAAGCUGAAUGAAAAGGACAGUCAGCAAUUAUAAAUAUGUGAUAACAGAUAUAGAAUUACCUACAAACGUUGUGAGGCAGCCAUUGUAAAAUGUUUCAAGGAGCACUUACAAAUAGAAAGUGCCAGCAAAGAGAUAUAAAGAACAAAGGGGAAAUUUGAAUAUUUAAAAAUUAAUAAUCAAUGCGAAAGUUUAGUGUUUGGACUCAACAGCUUAAUGGAGGAGAUAGAGUAAAAGAUCAGGAAACUGGAAGAUAGAAUAAGAAAAGUUACCCGGUCUGAGCAACAGAGAAAAGAUAGCUGGAAAACAAUAACAAAAAUGACAGAGCAUCAGAGAUCUAAGGGACUAUAACAAAAGAUAUUAGAAAAAGGCCAGGUGUGAUGGCUCAAGCCUGUAAUUGCCUGUAAUACUAGCAAUUUGGGAGGCCCAGGAGGGCAAAUCACUAGGUCAGGAGUUUGAGAUCAGCCUGGCCAACAUGGUGAGACCCCCGUCUCUACUAAAAAUACAAAAAAAAAAAAAAAAUUAGCUGGGCAUAGUGUUGGGCACCUGUAAUCCCAGCUACUUGGGAGACUGAGGCAGGAGAAUUGCUUGAACCUGGGAGGCAGAGGUUGCAGUGAGCCAAGAUCACACCACUGCACUCCAACCCCGGGCGACAGAGUGUAACUCAGUCUCAAAGAAAAAAAAGAUAUUAGAGAAAAAAAAAUCAUGCAACCAGAGUCCCUAAAGGAGAGGAGGAAGGGUGCAAAGGUGAAAAAGUUACUUGAAAAAUAAUGACUUAAAAAAUAAUGAUGUUUGGCCAGAUACAGGACACUACAGAAUCAAGAAGCUGAGCAAACCUUCAACAAAAUAAUCCAAAGAAAUCCACAUCAAACAAUUAACUUCUGAAAUCUAAAAACAAAGAAAAAUCUUGAAAGUAGCCAAAGAAAAAAUGACACCUUAGUUACAGGAGAAAUUCAUAAUCACAGUAGGUUUCUGAUCUGGAACAAUGGAAGCCAAAUUAAUAGGACACAAUAUUUUUCAAGUGCUGGAGGAAAGGAACCGUCAACACCAAAUCCUAUAGCCUUGAAAAUGUCAUUCAGAAAUUAAGGGAAGAUCAAGACAUUCUCAGAUGAUAUAUAAUUAAGAAUAUUUAUUACCAGCAGACAUACCCUAAAAUAAUGACUGAAGGAAGUUCUCUAAACAGAAAGGAAAAAAUAGAAAAAGGAAUCUUGGAACAUCAGGAAGGAAGAAAUCAUAUGAUUAAAACAAAUAUGGGUAAAUAUUAUAGGCUUUCCAUCUCCUCUUGACUUUAAGAGAGUGGGUUUGAUGUUUGAAGCCAGAAUUAUAACACUGCCUCAAGUGGUUCUAUAUGAAUGCAGAUGAAAUAUUUAUGACAAAUAUAUUAUAAAUGGGGAAGAAUAGAGGAGCAUAAAAGAAGUAAGUUUUCCCUACUUCAUUUGAACUGAUGAAAUAAGGACACUACUGGAGUGUUAUGAGUUAUGUAUAAAUAAUGUAAUUCUGAGAACCACAGGAAAAUCACCCAACACAUUGAAACUAAGCAACAAUCUUUUAAGUAAUCUCACUAUCAAAGGGGAAGGAUCAAGGAAAAUAAAUAGAAAAUAAUGCAUAUUAAAAGUUAUGUGACACAGAUAAAGCAGUGUUAAAGGAAUUUUUGCACUAAAUGCGUAAUUAGAAAAGAAAAAUAAUCUCAAAUCAGCUAUCAUAGUUUGCAUCCCAAGAAUCUAGAAAAGUAAUUUUAAAACAUCAGAAAGAAAAAAAUGAUAAAGUUAUGAGACAGUUAAGAGCAGAAACAAAUGAAAUUGGAAACAGCAAAACAAUAUAAAAAAUCAAUGAACAAAAAAGCUAGUUCUUUGAAAGAUCAACAAAAUUGACAUGAAUGAUGAAAAAUAAGAGAAAGACAUGAAUUACCAGCAUGUAGAAUGGCACUAAAGAUGCUUCACUAUAUCCUGCAAUCAUCAAAAGGAUGAUGAGAGAUUACAAUGAACAACUCUAGACACAUAAAUUUGAUACCUUACAUGAAAUGGACCACUUUCUUUAAAAAAAAAAAGAAAAGCUACCACAAUUGACUCAACAUAAAUUGCUAAUUGGGAUAGUCUUUUAAGUAGUAAAGAAACUGAAUUCAUAAUUAGACAUUGUCAAAAUGAAAUCUCUGAGCCCAGAUGGUUUCACCGGAGAAAUUAUUUAAAGAAGAAUUAACAUCAAUUCUAAAGAAUCCAGAUUAUUGAGGGGGAGGGAACACUUUUUGAUAGACUUUAGAAAGCUAGUAUUACUCUGGUUUUGAUUCAUAUCAAAACCAGAAUAAAAUUGUUAAAAAUAAAAUAUAAGGAAAUAAAGAGAAAGCAACAUAUCAAUAACCCUCAUAAAUAUGACAGAAAAUAUUUAAGAAAAUAUUAGUAAAUUGAAAUAAAAUUCAGCAGUAUAUCAAAAGGAUUAUAUAUUAUAACCAUGUAUCUUCUAUUCUAAGGAAACAAGGCAAUUCAGUAUUCAAAAAUCAAAUAGUGUAGGCCCCCAUAUUAACAGAAUUAACAAAACUCUUCUAAUUUUCCAAUUAGAGGAAAAAUCACAUGGUCAUACAAUUGAUGCAGAAAAGGCAUUUUAAAUAUUCAGAAACCAUUUAUAAUAAAACUCUCAGAAAACUAGAAAUAGAGAGGGAUAUUUCUCAACCUGAUAAAGAACAUCUACAAAACCUGUGGGUAUUUUCAUAAUGAUGACAGAGAGAAUGCUUUUUCUCUAAGGUCAGGAACAAGGAAAAAAUGCUCUCACCACACUUAUCUAACAGUGAUUGAAAUUCUAAUCAGUGCAGUAGGGCAAAUAAUAAUAAUAACAACAAACACAAAGCAGAAAGGAAGAAACAAAUGUCCCUGCCUACAGAUGACUUGGUUGUUCGCAUGGAAAAUCUCAAGGAAUCUACAAAAAUAUUCCUAAAAACAGUAAGUAAGUUCAGCAAGUUUACAGAAUACAAGAUGUAUAUUAAAAAGUUAUAUUCCUAUAUAUUCACAGUGAAUACAUGGGAAAUGAACCAAAGAAUGUGAUAUCAUUUAUAAUCACUAAAAAUGAAAUGAAAUAUUUAGGUAUAAAUUGAAACUACACACCACUGCUAAAAGAAAUCAAAUAAGAUCCAACUAACAGAGAGUAAACUUAGUUUCUUGAAUUGAAAGAGUAAACUUAGUAAGUAGUCAAUUCUUUCUAAAUUUAUACUGGAGGUUUAAUGCAAUUCUGAUCAAAAUCUCAGCAAAAUGUUUCGUAGGUAUAGAAAAGAUUGUUAUAAAAUUUAUCUGGAAAGGCAUAGGUCCUAGGAUAGCUACAGUAAUUUUUACAGAGAAUAAUAAAGUAGGUGGAAUCUGAAUACCCAGUAUCAAAACUUACUUUACAUCUGUGUUCAUUAAGAAUGUUUGGUGUUGGUGGAGAGAUAGAAAUAUUGGCCAAUGGACAGAACAGAGAGCCCAGAAAUAGACACACACAAAUACACUCACCUAAUCUCUUAAGAAGGGGCAAAAGCAUUUCAACAAAUGGUACUGGAGCCAUCGAACUCCACAGACCAAAAAACAGUAUCUUAAUGUAAGGCUUACAUCUUAUUAAAAAAUUAACUCAAGAAAGGCCACACAGAGACAUAAAUGUAAAACAACUGUAAAACUUUUAGAAUAAAUAUAGGAGAAAAUUUCCAGUGUCUAGGGCUAAACGAAGAGUUCCUUGUCGUGGUAUCAAAAUCAUGGUCUCUCAAAGAAAAAAUAGUUAAUUGGAUUUCAUCAAAAUGUUUACUUUGCAAAAAAAAAAACACCUCUGUAAAGAGGGUAACAGAUCAGUUACUGGGCAGCUAAAAUAUUUGAAAUCUACAUAUAGGUAAAAGGACUAACAUCUAGGUCUAUUUUUUCAACUCUCAAAACUCAGUAGUAGCUAGUUGCAGUGGCUCAUGCCUGUAAUCCCAGCACUUUGGGAGGCUGAAGCAGGCAGAUCACGUGAGGUCAGGAGUUCAAGACCAGCCUGGCCAACAUGGUGAAACCCUGUCUCUACUAAAAAUACAAAAACUAGCAGGACAUGGUUAAUUAAUUAAUUGAUUAUUUAAAUUAAUACUUGGGAGGCAGACGCAGUAGAAUCGCUUGAACCCGGGAGGCGAAGGUUGCAGUGAGUUGAGAUCGCGCCAUUGUACUCCAGCCUGGCCGACAGAGAGAGAUUCUGUCUCAAAAAACAGAACUCAACGGUAACAAAAACAAAGAGAGAAUAGGCAAAAGAUAUGAAGAAAUUUCACAGAAAAUGAAAAACAUAUGGCAAAAAAACACAUGAAAAGAUACUCAAAAUUAUUUGCCAUUUGGAUAAUUAAUAUUAAAACCGUAAUGAGAUAUCACUGCAUAUCUUUCAUAAAAACUAAAAUCAAAGACAGUAAAAACACUAAAUCCUGGUGAGGCUGCAAAGGAACUGGAUCACUCACACAAUGCUGAUGGAAAGAUAAAACGGUAGAUACAUUCUGGAAAAUAGUUUUGCAGUUUCUUUAAAAAAAGUAAACUUGCAUUAAAACCCAAAAAUUGACCUCCUAGCCUUUUAUUUCAGAGAAAUACAGACUUAUGUUGACACAAAAACGAGUAAACAAAUGUUUAUAAUAGGUUGAUUCAUAAUAUCCACAAACUAAAAACUAUCCAGACAGACAUCCUUUACCAGAUGGAGGGUUAAACACACUGCGGUACCUCUAUACGAUGGAAUACUAUUCAGUGAUCAAAGGGAAAGAAUUAUUGAUAUGUGCAACAACCUGGAUAAUUCUCCAGAAAAUGAUGCCUGCUGACAGAAAUCAAUACCAAAAAGCUACACGAUUCCACUGAAGUCACAUUAUUGAAACGACAAAAUUACCAAAUGGAAAAGAUAUUAGUGAUUUCCAGGAAUUAAGGAGGGGAUGAGGUGAAGGAAGUGGGUAUGGCUAUAAAAGGGUAAAAUGAGUGGGUUCAACUGUAUUCCCCGCCCACACUAAUAAAGCAUAUGAAUAUAUGCUAAUGCCUGAAGCCUAUGAAUAUGACCCUAUGUGGAAAAAGGGGUUUUGCAGAUGUCAUUAAAGAUCUCAAGAUGACAUUAUCCUGGAUUAUCUGGGUGGACCCUAAAUCCAGUAUAAGUGCCCAUGUAAUAAGCCGAAGAGAUGAGAGAAGGCCAUGUGAAGACAGAGGCAGAGAUUGAAGUUUUACAACCACAGGUCCAGGAACACCUGAAGCCAGCAAAAUAGGCAAGGCAAUAGCUGGACUAGGCCAGGAAGGAUUCACUUCUAAACCUUGGAAGGGAAUGCAGCACUGCUGCUACCUUGAUUUUAGGCUUCUGGCCUCCAGAACGGUGAGAGAAUAAAUAUCAGUUGUUUUAAGCUGUCCAGCUUGUGGUCAUUGGUUAGGGGUUAGGACAGCUCUAGAAAACGAAUAUGGGGGAUCCUCAUGGUGAUGAAAAUGUUCUGUAUCUCUGGUUUAACAAUGUCAAUGUCCUGGGUAUCAUAUUGUACCAGAGUUUUGAAAGAUGUUGUCACUAGGGAAAACUAGGUAAAGCAGGGCGAUGUUUUUGUUUUAUUUUGCAUAACUGCAUGCAAAUCUAUCAUUAUCCCAAAAUAAAAUGUUGAUAAAAAUAAAUAAAUAAAAUUGAAUUAUAAUUUGAUCUCUGGGUUACACAAUCAGAAUGAGUUGAUGGCACCUGAAGGGCAUCUAUUUUAUAGUACACCUUCAUCCAAAUAUUUACUUUUAAUGAUUAACAAACCGACUUAGCAUGUUUGCAUUAAUAUCUUAAGUGAGUCUCUGGAAUUAUUCAUCUUUUAGCAAAAUACUAUGAAAGCCUCUCACACAGGCUAAGCAGAGAAUAUUAAUGACUAACUAUGAUUUAUCGUUUUGUGUUUGCUUCAAGAAACUGGUACAUAAAUAUGUAAUUCUUAUAAAAAAUUUGUGGCAGCUUAUAAAAUAUACAUGUAAUAUAAGGUGAAAAACAAAAUAAAAUAGGAGAGAAAUAAGGAUAGGAAAAGUAAAGGAAGGCAAAGUUAAAAUUAGAAUACAAAACAUCAGAGAGUGAUCUACACUUCACAAGUUUGGGCUUCUAAUUUUUCCAGAGAAGAAAUAUAUAAUUCCAUAAAGAUAUUUAAGCAAGUAUAAAUUAGUCAAUAUUCUCAUGUCAAAAAACUAAAACAUAAAAAUAAGUAUCUCAAUUAGAGAUGUCAAAUUUAGUCAGAGUUUAGAAUAUUCUAUUUAAAAUAUAUCCAGUACGAUUUCAGAAAUAAUUAUCUCAGUUCAAGAAGGGAAAACCUGCUAAAUAUUUAAAUGUCAAAUAUAUCAGUGAUAGUUUCUGUUCAUAUUUUUAGUCUUUUGUCCUGGUAUAACUGAAAAAUUUGCAUGACUUAAAAUGUCAUAUUUUAUUUCAGCCUUAAUAUUGGUUAGUUGAAAGGCAUAAUUAUGACCAGAAAAUGUACUUUAAAAUUACCCAAUGAGAAAAGCUAUGCUAGUUUUAACUGAAAAUGCUUUACUUAAAUGCCAAAAAUUGAAAUAGUCUACUUUAUUAAGAUAUUUAAAAUAAAAUUAUGAAAACGAUGUCAUAUCCUUUGCAAAGUUGGCACCCGAAGUUCGAGUUCUGUCUUUCAAAAUGUAAAGUGAUUUUUUUCUGUGGAAGUAGAAUUGUCACCUGUAAUGGUUUUCAGUAAAUUACUCUGAAGCAUCUUGUCAAGAACAUUCAUAAACUUAAAAAUAAAACAAAGAUUUUCAUGUCUAUCAAGACUAAAAUAACAAAAAGUUAUUCCCACCAUUUAAUAUCAUAUAAAGACAAAAAUAAAUAGAUAUAUAAUAAAAAAUAAAAUAUAUAUAUUUAAAGAUACAUACUUUUUUCAAUAGUAAGGAUCACAUUUGCAUGUAUAUGAAAUACAACAUAAAAAUCAGCAUAAAAAUCAUCCACUAUCUCAUUUUUACAUAAAAUGAUAUCUAACACGAGGACUGCUUGGAAAAUAGCAUCUUAAUCUUUGCUUAACUUCUUAGGUUAUUUUGGAACUCUCUUGAUCUCAGAUUCUUCUUCUAUAAAAUUGAGACAAUCUUUCUCCAGGAGAAUAGGUUCAGGUUUUAUAAAGUGAUAGAUAUAAAAGUAAUAUAACAGAUAUGAUUAUUAAUAAUAUUAUUAUUUGAAAUGGACAAGCAGUAAUGGGAGGAUAGAAUGAUAAGGAUGUGUAUCAUUGCCAAAUCCUUGAGGGAGGUGCUGGUAUUUGGAAAAAAAAAAAAAAACAACGAAUACCUAAACGUGAAUAAAUUUGAGGAAACUCUAUUGAAAGUCUUCCCCACCUGUUCAUGAAACAGAUGCCCUUUUCUCCUCUGUUAUUGCAUAAGUAAGGUAUAUGUCUUAGUCCCUUUCAAUUCCAGUCUGGCCAUGUGCCUGAGCUCUAUCUAGCCAAUAGAAUGCCAGCAGAAAUUAUAUGUAUCACUUCCAGGUCUUCCCUUUUAGAACCCUAACACCCACCCUCUUUCAUGCUCAUUCUUCACCAACUGAUUGCACACACCCGUCAAGGAACUUGGAGCUGUCAGAUGGCAGAAGGUUGCUGCCCUGAAUGGCAGAAUGGAAAUAAACGCACACCGGAAUUACCCGCAAUUAACCACUGCAACUAAAUGAGACAUCAACUUUACUUAUGUUAAGCCACUGAGAUUGUAAGUUUUGAAUGUAGACCCAAUAUACUACGCCGGUUAAUUUACAAGCCUAGAAUAGUACGAAGAACUAUCAUAUAUAAUAAGUAAUGCCAAUAUCAAAAUUAUGGUAAUGUUUCUUGAUACAAAAACAUAAACUGGAAAAGGAAACAAUUACUACUAACAAAAUUCACUAUAAGAUGUGUCUAAUAUGUCAAGCAUUGACCCUAGACUACGGUCAAAUGUCAGUUGGAAGGUUAAGUUGUGUACUCUAAGACAAGCACGUGAAAUAAUUCCUGUGGAUUCCUGUCAGUGCAGCAGUUUCUCAGCUAGUGUUAGUCUAGGAGAUUCUGACCAGCAGCACUUCUUGUUCAGCUCCUUUUCCUUAACGUGUAAUUUUCAGCAGAAUAAAACUGCAUUCUCUAUAUUCUAGCACAAAUGAACAUUUUGUGACUAACAGUAUUCACUGAUAGUAUAAUGUAUCGGCCUUAUUGCUGUCAAUAAUUAUUAUUUGUAUUUAUAUUACAAUAUUACAUUUCAGUUAUUUUGGUUCAAGGUUUUAGAGUCAUCAACUUCUGUGAACAUUUCUAAGAAUUUUCCAUCCCUUAUCUUCCUACCCCCUUCAUCAGGAACCCUUAGUCUAAGUAACCCCAUAUACUUUUGCCUAUGUAACCCCUCUCAUAUCAAAAACUAGAACACAGACAUAUUGAGAUGGACUCAGUCAUAAAGGGAUAUAAAUUUGUUUUGUAGAUUCAUAUGUUAAUUUUAUAAUAAUAGAUUACUUUUAAUUGACACAAAAUAUUACCCAGCUCAGAUAAUAUUUUAUUUUGCAAUCUUUCAACAAUUAGCUGUUAGGAAAGACUGUUUAAGUGAAGGAUCUACCAUAAAGAAUCCAAAAUAAUAUACCACUUUUUGCCCAGUGGCUUUUGCGUAUCAGGCACUAUGUUACAGAUUUUAUAUGCCUAACUACUAUGUUUUUAUAAAGUAUUAUUUUCUAAAUUUACAGAUGAGAUAGCCUCACCUCACUGAGAUUACAUGAUUUGCUAAAGACCACAAGGAUAGAAUCAAGAUUUGAACUCUUUUCUUUCUCCAAAUCUAGAGCUCUUUUUCCUUACUUCUGUUCUAUGGAAUUGAUUGUUCUGCUUCUUUUCUAUAAUUAACCUUUACAAUCACUUAAUAACAAAUUUGUGAUAUAUACGGUAGACACCAAUAUAAGUGCUGAAGCUACAAAGAUAAAUGGGAACCCCUGGCCAGGUGUGGUGGUGCGCGCCUGUGGUCCCAGCUACUCAGGAGAUUGAAGCGGGAAGAUCACUUGAACUCAGGAAUUUGAGAUCAGCCUGCUCCAAAAAGCAAGUCCCCAACUCUAUAAAAAUAUAUUUUUAAAAAAUUAGCCAGACAUGGUGGCAGGCAUCUACGGUAGCAGCUAUGUGGGAGGCUGAGGUGGGAGGAUUACUUGUGCCUGGAAGUUCAAGGUUGCAGUGAGCUAUGAUUGCACCACUGUGCUCUAGCCUGGGUGACCACAAAGCCCUGUCUUAAAAACAAAACAUAAAAGUAAAAAUAUGGAACCAUCAGUCUAGUUGGAGAAAAAUUCAUGAAAAUAAAUGAUUACAUUGUGGUGGGAUAUGCGAGUAGAGGUGAAAGAGAAGACACAGAAGCCCUGCCGUGAAGGCAGUGAAUAACUUGCUAUGGGACUUUCAAGGACUGUUUGGAGGUGAAGGCAGUACCAGAGCAGGAAUUAGAGGUACAUUGGAAACUUAGUAGGCCAACAGAGGAGAUGAGGGUGUGAGGUGUGGAAGAGAAGAUACCUGAGUGGGGUCUACUCAUGGCAAACCUAUAUACAAUGCUAAGAAAUUUGAGCUGUUGUCCUGUGCAUGAGAGGAAACAAUGACAAAUUUUACUGAAAAUAAUAAUUUUAAGAGAUUUUUGAUGUAAGAAAUUACUAUCAGCAACAGCAAAUAUGGGUCAGGGAUGGAGAAACUAACUGGGUUGUGAUGGCAGAUUAGAGAUCAUGUUUCCAUUUAUCCAAUCUAUCAAUCCAUUUAUCCUUCCACUUUAUUAGAAAAAGCCUGGUCUAGCUACUCAGGAGGAUGAGGCAGGAGAAUCGCUUGAACCAAUGGAGGUUGCAGUGAGCCGAGAUCACACCACUGCACUCCAGCCUGGGCAACAGAGCAAGACUCCUUCUCAAAAAAAAGAAAAAAGAAAAGAAAGAAAAGAAAAGAAAAGAAAAGAAAAGAAAGAAAAGAAAAGAAAAGAAAAAGACUGGUCUAACAAAUAAUAGUUGGGACAUUGGGAAUAUGAUAGGUUUUUGACAUAUUUAGGAACUGAAAUUCAGGCAUUUUAGAGAUUUAUGGGACAUCCAGGUAGAGUUCUAUGAUAGGCAACUGAAUAGUUAGAUUUCACAGGAAAGCAGAUCAAUCAAUAAAUGUGGGACUUAUGUAUUUACAUGUGGUUAUUAAAACCAAGGACAAAGAUUUCAUUACCUUAGAGUAUAGUAAAAAAGAGAGGAUUGAAUAGAAUCACAAAGAGGGACACAGGGACAGAGAAGAAGGAGGAAGGAGACUGGGAAAGAACAUUUAGGAAGAGGACAGAGACCUAGAGAGGAUCAUGUAAGGAAACCAAGUAAGGCAUGUUCUCAAGACUAUAAAUUGCUGAUAGGAACAGAAGCCACAGGAAGUUUAAGAACAGUGUACAUUGGUCUCACAAAAUAGGAGACCAUUUGUUAAAACACUGUCCAAGGCACUACUUAUGGCAGCAGAAGUGAGAUUAAAGGGGAUUAAGUAGUUGGUGAAAAUUAGACAGUGAAAAUAUAAAAGUAAAUUACUAUUUUCAUAAAUGUAUAUAGGCACACCUCAUUUUAUUGAACCUUGCUUUACAAAUUUUAACCUUGUGGUUAAAACAACCACAGAUACUACAUUUUUUACAAAUUAAAGGUUUUGGCAACUGUGUGGAGCAAGUUUAUUGGCAGCAUUUUUUUCCAACAGCACGUUCUUUCUCUCUUUUGGCCUCUGUUACAUUUUGGUAAUUCUUGCAAUAACUAAAACUUGUUCAUUAUUAUCACACCUGUUACGGUAACCUGUGAUCAGAGAUCGUUGAUGUUACUGUUGUAAUUGUUUUGGGGUGCCAUGAACCAGAACCAUGUAAAACGGCAAACUCACUUGUUAAGUGUUGUGUGUGUUCUGAAUGCCCCACUGACCUGUUGUUCUGCCAUCUCUGUCCUUCUCCUUGGGCAUCCCUAUUCUCUGAGACACAACAAUAUUGAAAUUAGGCCAGUUAAGCCUACAAUGGCUUCUAAGUAUUCAGGUGAAAGGAAUAGUUACAUGUCUCUUACUUUAAAUCCAAAGCUAGAAAUGACGAAGCUCAGUGAGGAAGGCAUGUCAAAAGCCAAUAUGGGACAAAAGCUAGACCUCUUGCACCAAAACUAGCCAAAUUAUGAAUGCAAAGGAAAAGUUCUGGAAGGAAAUUAAAAGUGCUACUUUAAUGAACGCACAAAUGAGAAGAAAGCAAAACCUUAUUGUUGACAUGGAGAAAGUUUUAGUGGCCUGAGUAGAAGAUCAAACCAGCCACACUAUUCCCUUAAGCCAACGUCUAAUCUAGGGGAAGGCCCUAACUCACUUCAAUUCUAUGAAGGCUGAGAGAGGUGAGGCAGCUGCGGAAGAAAAGUAGGAGACUAGGAGAGGCUGGCUCACGAAGUUAAGGAAAGAUGCCAUCUGCAUAACAUAGAAAUGUAAGGUGAAGCAGCAACUGCUGAUGGAGAAGCUGCAGCAAGUUAUCCAGAAGACCUAGCUAAAAUAAUUGGUGAAAGGGCCUACACUAAAACAACAAAUUUUUAGUGAAAAACGCAGCUUUGUAUUGGGAGAAGAUCUCCUCUGGACUUUCAUAGCUAAGAAGGAGAAGUUGAUGCCUGGCUUCAAAUCUUUAAAGAAUAGGUUGACUCUUCUAUUAGGGGCUAAUGCAGCUGGUGACCUUAAGUUGAAGCCAAUAUGAAUUUACCAUUCUGAAAAUUUUAAAACAAGAAUUAUGCUAAAUCUACGUAGCCUGUGGUAAGUGGAACAAAACCUGGAUUACAGCACAUCUGUUUAUAGCAUGAUUUACUGAAUAUUUUUAGCUUUCUUUUGAGACCUAGUGCACAGAAAAUAAUAUUCCUUUCAAAGUAGUACUGCUCAUUGACAAUGCACCUGGCCAUCCAAAAGCUCUGAUAGAGAUGUACAGGGAGAUUAAUGUUGUUUUCAGGCCUGCCAAUGGAACAUCUAUUCUGCCACCCAUGGAUCAAGGAGUAAUUUUGACUUUCAAGCACUAUGAUUCAAGAAAUACAUUUCAUGGGGAUAUAGAUUCCAUAGAUAGUGAUUCCUCUGAUUGAUCUGGGUAUAGUCAAUUGAAAACCUUCUGGAGGCUGGGCAUGGUGGCUCAUACCUGUAAUCCCAGCAAUUUGGGAGGCUGAGAAGGGCAGAUCUUCUGAGGUCAGGAGUUUAAGACUAGCCUGGCCAACAUGGUGAAACCCUGUCUCUACUAAAAAUACAAAAACUAGCCUGGCAAGGUGGUGCACCCCUGUAAUCCCAGCUACUCAGGAGGCUGAGUGAGGCAAGGCAGGAGAAUUGCUGGAACGUGGAGGCAGAGGUUGCAGUGAGCCGAGAUCCCGCCACUCACUCCAGCCUGGAUAAAAGAGCAAGACUCCAUCGCAAAAAAAAAGAGAAAACCUUCUGGAAAUGUUUCAUUACUCUAAAUUGCAUUAAGAACAAGGAGGUCAAAAUAUCAACAUUAAUAGUACUUUGAAAGAAGUUGAUUCCAACUCUCAUGGAUGACUUUGAGGGGUUCAAGACUUCAGUGGAGGAAGUAACUGAAGAUGGUCUGGAAAUAGCAAGAUAACUAGAAUUAGAAGCAGAGCCUGAAAACGUGACUGAAUUGCUGCUACCUCAUAAUAAAUCCUUAAGGGAUGAGAGGCUGCUUGUUAUGGACGAGCAAAUAAAGUGGUUUCUUGAGACAGCCUCUACUUCCGGUGAAGAUGCGAUGAACUUUGUUGAAAUGACAACAAAGGGUUUAGAAUACUCUGUAAACUUAGUUCGUAAAGCAGCCACAGGGUAUGAGAAGAUUGACUCCAGUUUUGAAAGAACUUCUAAUUUGGGUACAUUGUUAUCAAACGGCAACGCAUGCUACAAAGAAAUCUUUUCUGAAAGGAAGAGUCAAUUGAUGAGGCAAACUUCAUUGUCUUAUUUUAAGAAAUCAUCGGCCAGGCAUGGUUGCUCACACCUGUAAUCCCAGCACUUUGGGAGACCGAGGCGGGCAGAUUGCCUGAGCUCAGGAAUUCACAACUAGCCUGGGAAACCCAGGUGAAACCCCAUCUCUACUAAAAUGCAAAAAAUUAGCCGGGCGUGGCUGCGUGCUCCUGUAGUCCCACCUACUCGGGAAGCUGAGGCAAUAGAAUUGCUUGAACCUGGGAGGCAGAGGGUGCAGUAAGCUGAGAUUGUGCCACUGCACUCCAGCCUGGGCCACAGAGUGAGAUUCCAUCUACAAAAAAGAAAAAAAAAAAAAAGAAAGAAAAAGAAAAGAAAUUGUCACAGCCACCCCAGGAUUUAACCACCAUCGUUGUCAUCAUCAGCAGCCAUCAAUAUGGAGGUAAGACCUUCCACCAGCAGAAAUGUUAUAACUGGCUGAAGGCUCAGAUGACUGUUAGCAGUUUUAGCAUUAAAAUAUUUUUAAUUACGGUAUUUUCAUUGGUUUUUUAGACAUGAUGUUAUUAUACAUUUUAUAGACUACAGUGUAGUGUAAAUGUAACUGGGCCGAAAAAAUUGUGACUUUAUUGGGACAGUUGCUUAAUUGCAGUGAUCUCGACCCUCACUUGCAGUAUCUCUCAGGUGUGCCUGUAUAACGUGAAUGGAAUUUAUUAACAGGGAGUGAAACGAAAGAGUGGCAACUAGAGAGAAGCAUGGAGUAAGGAGAGGGAUUUUCUCUUGAUUUCAUUUGUUGACAUAGGAAUCAUUUAUAGAUUUGUUUUUCAUUUAUUUCAAUGAUAAGAAAGAAUGAUAAGAGGUGGCAGAGAAAGAGAAGUUGAAAAUAGAAUAAAGCUAAGUUACUUAUUAUUGAGGAAAACCUAAAUGAAAAAUAGGGAAAUAGGAUGAAGUCUAUUAAAGAGAUUAUCCAUGAGGAGGGAGACCUCAUCUUCUGAGACAAGAAUAAAAGAUACAAUGGUGGACUCAGAGGUAAAGUAAUUAUAAGUCUUGGUGAAUGUGUGUGGUGGAUAGGGAGGUAUGACUAUUCUUUCUCAAAGUAAGUGGUAAUUUAACUAUUGGGGAAAGGGAGAUGCUUGAUAUUUUGAGGACAUUGAUAAAGUCUAAGCCAAGCCACCUUUUUUUUUUUGAAUAAUUACUGAACCAUUCCUUUUCUUUAGCAAGUACCAUUACUUGAAUAUAAUUGACUCUACUAAAAGUCUUCAUAUAUUUAUAAUAAUCAUUGUUAAAUCAAAAUUAUUUUCUAAAAAUAUCUAGGCUACCAUAACAUAAAUAACAUAUCACAAUAUUUUCAAAGACAGUUAUCAUUUAGCUUAUUCAUAUAAUAAUUAUCCCGUUAACUUUUUUAUUUUCUGAGGUGAUAAAUCUACCUAUUUUCAUUAAGAUUUUAUGCAAGCAUAAUUUAUACUACAUAUAACAAGUUUUUUUCAACUCACAAUGACCUUUUAAAAUUGUUAAUAAGAGUAUAUAAGGGGUUUUAGAAAACUCCUUGGCUUGUAGGUGUGAGAGAAAGUCACAUUUAUUAUUACUAGAAGCAGUGUUCUGUUGGCAUAUUACAAUGUGGCAGACAAUCCUUCAACAAUUAAUUACCAGUAAAGUAAUUAUAGAAUAUCCUUUGAUGUUUAUAAUGUUUUAAUUGAAGUAAAAAUGUGAGAAUAUGCUUCAGGGGAAUAUAAUAUUUUAAUUAUUUAUGGGCCAAGAUAUCUAUAUACUUUGACUAGAGUGCAUUUCUCUAUUCUGUGGCAUCUCUGUUAUAAUAGAACAUUUGUAGACUAAAAAAAUAGGGUGUUUUCCCCCCACAGCGUAUUACAGUGAAUGUAGUCUACUUUAUAAUCCUCAGGGUUCUUUUAACUUGACGUGAAUCAAACACCUUAAGGAAACAGAAACUAAGACUGAAAGUUUUGACAAAUUAGUUUUGAAACCUUCACAAACUAAACCUGUUUUUGAUAUUGGUUUCAAAAAGUAUGCAUAGAAACUUGACAUGAAGUAGCUAAAUUUAUGCACUCAAUUGAUAUUUAUAUGUGUGCAGGUCUAUCAACGUUAUUGAAAAGUUAAUCCAAAGGAUUUAUUGAUUACUCUCAAUUUCUCAGAUACUGUCAGUUCACUUUUGAAAAUUAUUCUCUUAUGUAAUAUUGCACUCUUUUCAGUAAAAAGGAGAGUUUGUGGCUGUUAAAUAUGCAUGAGGCACAAUAGUUUCACAACAAAUCAAAUUUAAUUAAAUGAUGCAUUUCCUCCACUUACAAAAGGUUUAUUAAAGGUUUAUUUGCUCAUGCAAAUUAAAGUGUUAGAGUAAAAAUCCACAUGAAACUUGGCACUAACAAUUAAAAAAAUAUUGAAAGAUUUCUCGCCUCGCUGCAAUACCUUGCUAUGUUUAAACUGCUCAGCUUGUCAUUUAGAAUCUUUAAUGAAACCAGGGAGGAGGCUAUUUAUUUGCAUAAUAGGACAUAAUUUGCUGUGGUGAGGUUUUAAUUAUUUAUAGGCUGUCUGAAAUAUUUAAAAUGGCAUCACUAAGGAGCAUGAAGUGUUGGAUAAUGCCUUCAUUUCAGGUUUCCUGCCGUUUCUUUUAUGGGUCAAGCGAUUUAUUUCUAAUUAGCAUACCAGGCUAGUGGCUUUAAAAACAUAAGGAAAACAAAUUGGUUUCAGUCUGUUUGCAGCUUGAGUAGUUGGAGACGGCCAAGGGUCACUGACGGAGACUGAGCAGAGUUAAGAGAUGAAGCCAGAAGCCAUCCCAGCACAUGGAAAUCACUGACUCAACAGAGCCAUACUUUCAUUUGUGCACACUGAUUACUGUAUGUAGUAGCUUCUCUUUGGUAGGUAGUGGGUUAGAGUUAAUGGAUUUCAUGUUAAUUGUCCCUUAAAUAUUUUCUACCAUUAACACAUUUCUUAUUGGAAAUGAUGUGUAAGCAACAGAAAAUAUUCCAUUUCCUUGGAUAAAAGAUACAGUAAUUACUGUGUGCAUAGGGAAAAAUUCGGCAGUUUCAGGGUGAGAUUUAACAUUUAAGUAUAUGCAAUCUUAUUUAUAUACAAGAACAAGAGCCUGUGGUUAAAACACAAUAGGGUUCUUUUUUAAUAAACCAUAUGGAAACUCAUAUAUCUUGUGAGAGGUUGUGAAUUAGCAGAGUACACUAAAAUAUGUUCGAAUUUCUAAAGCAUUCUUAUUGUGCAUUGUCUGUGUUCUAGGUAAAAGGAAAAAAAAAACUCAGGAAUCAUCUAUAAGGUCUCUUAUGUUAUGAUAAAUGGAUUUUCAUGUUCUUUACUAUCUAUUUUAAAUAUGAUAAUUUUCUUGAAAGUAGUUUAAAAGUGGUCAUGUUGUAAACAUCAUUGUAUAGCCAGGAGAAAUGUGUUUACUGCAAGAGUUUAUUAUAUUUCCGUGAUGCUCUAGAUAUCCCCAUCAUCAUGCACAUAGAUUGAAAGCAGGGGUAGCACACUGUUGUCAGACAUUCUCUCAUUUGUCACCUUCUGGCCUCAAAACAUGAAUAGAGAAAUUGCUGCCAGAUGUCAAGAAACAGCCUUAGGGCAUUACAGAGGAUAUUAUCCAUGCCCUUUUAAGUAGUAGACAGAUGCUGUAUUCAGAGAGAGGAUUUUUAUGAUUAUCGUUCACACAGCCCAGGUGAUUGGUCAAGGCCAUAAAGGAGUCUGCAAUCCUUGGAGAACUUUUGGAGUCACUUUAACCAUAACGUAAUGUAUUGCAACAGUUACAAUAAAUUAUGUUAUGGUUCCUGAAUGUAACCGUCAAUUAUCAUUAUUUUUUUAAGUAUCCACUGGAUACAGAUAGUGG
rnacentral:lncRNA from 1 species